GAGGGUAUAGCUCAGUGUUAGAGUGUGUGCUUAGUGUGCACAAGGUCCUGAGUUCAAGCCCCAGUACUUCCA
rnacentral:tRNA from 1 species